CAUCACUACCAGUGAAUGACUCAGUUGAGAAAUGUUUCCUCAAUAAUGCAUGUUUUGGUUCUGUGGAUUCUAAACUAGGUUCUGGAUUCUAAAGUGGAAAUUGUUUUACCAGGGGGCCCAGUAAGAGUCCCAUUAAACUUUAAACUAUGGCUACUGUAGGGUCAUUUAAGUUUCUUCAUGUCAAGAGUCCAGUAAGCAAUAAAAGAAAACAAUGUUGGUAGAGGUAAUUGAUUCCGGCCAUUAGGAGGCCAUCCUCCUAAUGGCCUCCUAGGGGUACUCAGUGGGGUCUGGAAAGCAUAAGUUUGGUUGUCAGGUUAUCUACUGGAUCAUGUCUUGAUACUUUCCUGAUUUUUUCAAGAAAUGGACAAGUACAGCAGCCACAGUAUGGUGUGGUUACCAGAAGCCUAGGCACUCAGGGAUGACUGUCUGGGUAACCCCACCAGUUUCCCAGAAAAAGAGACCAACCAGAAACUUGAAGGAGUUCUUCCCAGAUGGAAUAAAUUUACCGUGUGAAUCACGUGAAUCCAAGGGAUGCAAGGAUUGGCCUAUACUGGAUUGGAUGCUCUGGUAUACUACUCAGAUUUCCUCUUCAGAACUAAUGCAUUUAUCCCCCAGCUAUGAAAUUGUUGGCUGCUGGCAGUCUAUAGCUAAUGCAGUCACUGGAAAUUAUCCUUGGUUGAAGGGACCUAACUUGUCCAAGUCUACACCUAUUUCCAGGAAUAGUUCAAUCCAUUGACUUGUUGAUGCAGGACUACACAGGUCAAGCCUUCUUGUUUUGAUGUGGACAAAUCUGAAGGGAUAUCCCAGCUCCAGACCUCGCAUAGGUCUGAGCUAAAGAGACCUCAUAGGUCUGUGUCAAUUUCUGUCUUUACCCAGUCCUGCUUCUCUCAUUCCUUUAUAGGUGUUGUUCUGGAACUUCCUAAUAAACCAGCUGCAUGCAAAUAUC
rnacentral:lncRNA from 1 species